CUUCGAGUUAUCCAGCUGUGGUUGUAUUUCUGAUCUCACCACCAGCAACGAUAAAUUGAUCGGAAAUGAUGGCGGUGUAUUGGAGUUGAAAUAUGGCAUAAGAUUGCAUUUGGUUAAGAAAUGACAUUUACGUGAACAGAUUCAGAUAUUGUCUAAUCCCAUUGUGUGACAUUGUAGUAUUUGUUAAUGUUUCCGUGUUUUGCGCACAGCAUGCUUACUUCAAUCGCUUUUUCCUUGGACAAAGGUUGCUGUCCAUUCGGUAUCCAUGAAUCACGGCCGCACUGGCAACGAACUGGUGCAAAGAGGCUUCACUUUGUAUAUUUUUCGCAUUCCUAUUACUAGGAAUUGACAGGAGCAUGAAAU